rnacentral:rRNA from 1 species
GACGAACGCUGGCGGCGCGCUUAACACAUGCAAGUCGAACGAAGUGGCGAACGGGUGAGUAAUACGUGAGUAACCUGCCCUCCUUUUUGGGAUAAGCCUUGGAAACGGGGUCUAAUACCGAAUAAAGGGGGAUGGACUCGCGGCCUAUCAGCUUGUUGGUGGGGUGAUGGCUUACCAAGGCGGUGACGGGUAGCCGGCCUGAGAGGGUGACCGUCCACAUUGGGACUGAGAUACGGCCCAGACUGCUACGGGAGGCAGCAGUGGGGGAUAUUGGACAAUGGGCGGAAGCCGGAGGCAGCGACGCCGCGUGGGGGAUGAAGGCUUGCGGAUUGUAAACCUCGUUCGCUAUCGAGCGGGUAGGUGGAGAAGAAGCGCCGGCUAACUACGUGCCAGCAGCCGCGGUAAUUC